GCAGUCGAGCGAACAGAUAAGGAGCUUGCUCCUUUGACGUUAGCGGCGGACGGGUGAGUAACACGUGGAUAACCUACCUAUAAGACUGGGAUAACUUCGGGAAACCGGAGCUAAUACCGGAUAACAUAUUGAACCGCAUGGUUCAAUAGUGAAAGGCGGCUUUGCUGUCACUUAUAGAUGGAUCCGCGCCGUAUUAGCUAGUUGGUAAGGUAACGGCUUACCAAGGCAACGAUACGUAGCCGACCUGAGAGGGUGAUCGGCCACACUGGAACUGAGACACGGUCCAGACUCCUACGGGAGGCAGCAGUAGGGAAUCUUCCGCAAUGGGCGAAAGCCUGACGGAGCAACGCCGCGUGAGUGAUGAAGGUCUUCGGAUCGUAAAACUCUGUUAUCAGGGAAGAACAAAUGUGUAAGUAACUGUGCACAUCUUGACGGUACCUGAUCAGAAAGCCACGGCUAACUACGUGCCAGCAGCCGCGGUAAUACGUAGGUGGCAAGCGUUAUCCGGAAUUAUUGGGCGUAAAGCGCGCGUAGGCGGUUUUUUAAGUCUGAUGUGAAAGCCCACGGCUCAACCGUGGAGGGUCAUUGGAAACUGGAAAACUUGAGUGCAGAAGAGGAAAGUGGAAUUCCAUGUGUAGCGGUGAAAUGCGCAGAGAUAUGGAGGAACACCAGUGGCGAAGGCGACUUUCUGGUCUGUAACUGACGCUGAUGUGCGAAAGCGUGGGGAUCAAACAGGAUUAGAUACCCUGGUAGUCCACGCCGUAAACGAUGAGUGCUAAGUGUUAGGGGGUUUCCGCCCUUAGUGCUGCAGCUAACGCA
rnacentral:rRNA from 1 species